AGUGCCAUUGUAGCUUCAAACGGUCACUAAAUGAACUGUAUUCCUGAUUUUUGUAGGCCAGUUUUACUAGCCCCUUUCCUAUGCUAUCCGUUUUCUGCUUAUCCAUUUUCCAAACAAGGAAUGAGUGCCCUCUAGUGAAUAGAAACAGCUCACACACUUUGAAGGCUAAAAAAAGGGUUGAAGUCAAGGCCACGGUAUUAUUCAAAUUAUCUGGCCAGCAUUAUCUAGAUGUGCCCGGAAUCAAGUAAAUGCAUUCUGAUCUACUUGUGUACAAAAGUACAAAAUAUAUUAAGUACAGAAUAGAAUAAAUCCACUGAGUUCAAACUACUAACAAGAAUCAACUAAUAAUUGAUGAAGACUAGAUUAAAAAAAGGCAAUCAUUAAACUCUGUAGGUUUAAAGGAUUCUCACCUGUCAUUUACUUAUUGUAUAUUUUGUGCAAACUGACACAUGUACUUAGAAGUCAAGCACCAGAAGCCAUGAAUGCUCCAACGCUGGAAGUUUUUAAGAAGAGACUGGACAGCCAUUUGUCUGAAAUGGUAUAGAGUUUCCUACCUGAGCAGGGGGGUGGACAAGAUGACCUCCAAGGUCCCUUCCAACAUCAUCAUCAUCAUCAUUAUCAAAUAUACAUAUGAAGAAAUAUGCAUAAUACUACAAAUCUAUACCAACCCAGCUGGGAGAAGGUCUCAUUAAAACUGGCGGAUAGGCAAGCAUAGGAUUGAGAUUGUAAAUUUGCCGUGGUUUCUUUUCUCGUGUCAAAAUUGAGAGGAACGUAACAAUUUAGCAUCCCCCAAAACAAAUAUCAAAAAUACGGCGGGAAAAUAUCUGCAUUGCGCGUUACCGACACCCUUACCUCGAGUUGGCGCCGAUCACGUGAACAGCAUCAUAGCAAUGCGAUUGGCUCUAGAAAAGGGGCGUAUCCUUAGGCCCCACGUAGCGUAUAAAUAGAGACGCAGGCCGUCUAUUCGGUCUUUUCAUCGUGGGGUCGACGGCGCGUGAGGUAUGCCAAGAUUCUCUUGAUGUUGAAUGAAAAUCUCUGGAACCAACUACCACUUGUUGAACAAAGCAACACAAAGAGGACCGAUGUGGGGAUGUUCUGAAUCUAGAUAAAUAAAAUUUAAAACUCUUUGCUUUGGAUAUUUUUUUUCCAGAUAGGUUUGAAGCACUGCCUUUGAACUAGUGCAUGGCCCAUUCAUGGUCUCACUGGCUACGCUACAGUGCAAAAAUAAAAAGCUUGCUUAUAACUGGUGUUGCUCAGCUUAAACCUGAGUGAUUCUUUUAAAGACAAGUUACAAUCCAUCUCAUGCUUAAUGUUAAAAUAUGUAAGUUCCUCAAAAAACUGCAGUGAAUAUUCAGGGCUUGAUCAUCUGGAAAGAGUAUUAUGUAGGAGUGCUUCAAUUUUAUCUUGUUUGCUAGAAUAUCUGAAGAUAACGUGAAUUAAAGGAGGAAAGAUUGGCUUGUUGGGCUCUUACUAUUUGACAGUCUUUGCAUAAUCCUAUCUUCAAAGAUUAUAGGAACAACCUAGCAUUGGGAGAAAGUGUGUAAAGCCCUACUCAGACAAGCUAUAAUGCACUGCAGACUGCCAUCUCCUUGGUGCCAUAUUUCAUCAAAAAGCACAUGUCCACCUUUGGCACGCUAAUGGAGCAUCCAAGAAAAGCCAGUAGUCAAAGGAUUUUGUGCUUGGAGGCAGCUUGGAGGCUCUAAACCAGGCCUGCACAAUUCACAGAGGGGAAACACUCACUGAUAAAUUAAAAAUAACUGUGGGCUGCAAAGGAAUAUCUGGCAUACCAAUCAGCUAUUUGGCAGCAGGUGGAGUGGCAGUGGGACUGAAGCUGGCAGCAAUGGAAAACAUUUUAUCCUAUCACUAUAUGGAUUGAUUGAUAGCUUCUAACAUUCCUAAACUGAAAAGAUAAAUUACAGAAGAAUGGAUGGAUACUAUUUCCUGAUAAGAAAAAAACUGUUGGUGCAAAACUGUUGUCUGGUACUUUCUUCAUGAACUUCAAACAACUUUUGUAGUUGAUUUAUUACUCAAAGGAGAGAUUACUUUUUUCUUGUCCAAUCAACUUUCCUCUUGCAUUUUCUUUGUUGUGUUAACUAUUAAAAGGAAUGUAAGAUGGGUCUUGGGGUUCUCCCUUUUCAUAGGGAGAUCCCACUUUAUCAGGGUACCCUAAUAAAUGGCUUUUAAAUGAU